UACGUAGGGUGCGAGCGUUAAUCGGAAUUACUGGGCGUAAAGAGCGUGUAGGCGGUUUGGUAGGUCCGCUGUGAAAACUCGAGGCUCAACCUCGAGAUGUCGGCGGAAACCACUUGGCUAGAGUCCGGAAGAGGAGAGUGGAAUUCCCGGUGUAGCGGUGAAAUGCGCAGAUAUCGGGAAGAACACCGAUGGCGAAGGCAGCUCUCUGGGACGGUACUGACGCUGAGACGCGAAAGCGUGGGGAGCGAACAGG
rnacentral:rRNA from 1 species